AGAUGACCGAGUGGCUGAAGGUGCACGACUGGAAAUCGUGUGUACGCUAAAAACGUACCGGGGGUUCGAAUCCCCCUCUCUCCG
rnacentral:tRNA from 1 species